rfam:Daphnia magna strain Xinb3 contig41649, whole genome shotgun sequence.
GACGAGGUGACCGAGUGGUUAAGGUGAUGGACUGCUAAUCCAUUGUGC